GUGAAGUCAGUGCCUCGACCUUUGAGCAGCGUCAGGAAGGUGAAGUGAGUCAGUUCCACCAAAUGACCUGUUCCUUUCUCUAACAACACACUGAGCCGUGCAGAGAGAAGAUCCUGAUCCACUCCAUCGGGGAGGAGCCGCUGGGUGUUCCUAAUAAAUCAGCCAAUCAGAUCCCUCUACCUGUGGAUCCAGGUGUUUGCUGAUGUGCUUCUCCAGGAAAGGACGAGCGAGGACAGAGCUGACCGAGGGACGGUCUCUGGGGUUCACCUGUAUAUUAUCAAAUCUAAAUGGUCAGUGAACAUCACAGAUCAUCUCAAAGUGAAGCAGAAGAUGGUCACGCACAUGAGAACAACAUGACAACAACAUGACAACAACAUGAGAACAACAUGAGAACAACAUGACAACAACAUGACAACAACAUGAGAACAACACGAGACGUGCGAUGCCGUGUUCCCUCACCUUGAAAUGAGGCAGAGAAGGACACGAUGUUGGGGUGUCUCAUCUCCGACAGCAGCGUCCCCUCUUUCCUGGACGCUUCCUGUUCCCUGGGGGACAUCUGAGCAGUGGACGCAGACAGAACGUGGACAUGAACAAACAGCUGGUUAACAACGGGUUCAUCUAAAUCUGAGGCUUCAUGUUCUUCAAUCUGUGUGAACCGUCAGGAACACCUGGAGGGACAGAAACUGCACAUUCAGCAAAACCUCCAAUAAGAACGAUACUUCUUGUUUUAUGAUUUUCUACUUGUUAAUAUUUCAUGAACUGAUCAAACCAUGGACACGUGUGCAGUGAGUCGGGUGGAGGAGCGGCGGGUGCGUUACCUUCCGGAGGUCGAUCUGUUUGACCACACACUGUCUGUCUCCACCCCUCUCUCGGACCAGGAAGGCUUUUCCAAACGCACCCUCUCCGAUCUGACGGACGACCUCAUAGUUGUUCAUCACCUGAAGAGACACAGAGGGGAAGGUUUGUUUGAGACGAGGUCAUCUUAAUGAGACACAUGAGACACAUGAGACACAUGAGACACAUGUCUGCUGUCUCAUGAAUCCACCUGAUUGGCCCACUACCCUCAGCUGCACCAAUCACUGUCCCUGGUUCAGCUUCUCUCUGAGCCUCCUGCAUAUCACUUUUUAUUUAUAGCUUCUAAUAAUAUUGCCUUCUCUCUCUAUAUAUAUAUAAUAUUGUAUUGUUUUGAAUUACUGUAUUGAAAAUGAAAUAUCCGUUUGCAAUUGAUGAUUAAAGAAAAUGAUGAUUCAAAAUUAAACAUGUAAAUAUUUAAAAUAGCAGCUAAAGACAGUGACUUCCAGACGGAGCCUAAGUGCUUUUCAAAAUAAUAUUCUGAUGAGUUAA